AUUGAACGCUGGCGGCAGGCCUAACACAUGCAAGUCGAACGAGUGGCGGACGGGUGAGUAAUGUAUGGGAAUCUGCCUGAUGGAGGGGGAUCACUACUGGAAACGGUUGCUAAUACCGCAUACUAUCAGAUGUGCCCAGAUGGGAUUAGCUUGUUGGUGGGGUAACGGCUCACCAAGGCGACGAUCUCUAGCUGGUCUGAGAGGAUGACCAGCCACACUGGAACUGAGACACGGUCCAGACUCCUACGGGAGGCAGCAGUGGGGAAUAUUGCACAAUGGGCGCAAGCCUGAUGCAGCCAUGCCGCGUGUAGGAAGAAGGCCGUAGGGUUGUAAAGUACUUUCAGCGGGGAGGCGUUACCCGCAGAAGAAGCACCGGCUAACUCCGUGCCAGCAGCCGCGGUAAUUC
rnacentral:rRNA from 1 species